AUUGAACGCUGGCGGCAGGCCUAACACAUGCAAGUCGAGCGGAUGAAGGGAGCUUGCUCCUGGAUUCAGCGUCGGACGGGUGAGUAAUGCCUAGGAAUCUGCCUGGUAGUGGGGGAUAACGUCCGGAAACGGGCGCUAAUACCGCAUACGUCCUGAGGGAGAAAGUGGGGGAUCUUCGGACCUCACGCUAUCAGAUGAGCCUAGGUCGGAUUAGCUAGUUUGUGGGGUAAAGGCCUACCAAGGCGACGAUCCGUAACUGGUCUGAGAGGAUGAUCAGUCACACUGGAACUGGGACACGGUCCAGACGCCUACGGGAGGCAGCAGUGGGGAAUAUUGGACAGUGGGCGAAAGCCUGAUCCAGCCAUGCCGCGCGUGUGAAGACGGUCUUCGGAUUGUAAAGCCCUUUAAGUUGGGAGGAAGGGCAGUAAGUUAAUACCUUGCUGUUUUGACGUUAACAACAGAAUAAGCACCGGCUAACUUCGUG
rnacentral:rRNA from 1 species